UUUCUGAAAUUUUAAACUUGGUGGGUUAAUUUACAUAUACUGAAUUUAAAACUAAAUCCAACAGUCCCUCAAGUUAAAUAAUAACGAUAUAAAUAAAAUUACUUUCAAUAAUCAUUAAAGUAGCUUUAGCCACGUGGAUAUCAAAUAGACUUUAAAGUACAAAUUAAUACUACAUGAUGAUGAGAAUCUUUAUGAACCCCACGUUAUUAAAUGUUGUGCAAAUCUAACCCUAUGCGAGACUACCUGCUUAUCUCCCGUAUGGAUGGACUAAUACGGAAUACGAUGACAACAACAACAACUAUCCAGUAUAGUUUCACAAAGUAGGGUAUAGGGAGGGUAAUAUAUUUUCGAGCAUUACCCCUAUCCGAAAGGGCAGAGAGGCUGUUUCCAAUCGACCCUCGGCUCAAUGAAGGAAAGAAAACAAAACAAAAACAAAAACAAAAACAAAAGAGCAAUAGUAACUCCAGCAGAAAUUCCAUAAAUAAUUAUAUAAACAUAAGAACCAUAAAUAAAAUAGCAUGCAAUAAUAUCAGACAGUAACUAUCAUAAAUAACUACCAUAAGGGAGACACAAUCCAAUACACAAAUCAUCUGUGGAUAGCCCUGCCUAGCCUCACUCAACCCCGAGUGAUGAGUAUGAAAAACUCUAGGAGCCCCUAUCGUACAACCCUGAUACUAGACCUCCAGAAUUUCCUAUCAAGG
rnacentral:lncRNA from 1 species